UAGGGAAUCUUGCGCAAUGGGCGAAAGCCUGACGCAGCGACACCGCGUGGGGGAUGAAGGCCUUCGGGUUGUAAACCCCUUUCAUGAGGGAAGAACACUGACCUAACCUCAGGAAGAAGCACCGGCUAACUCCGUGCCAGCAGCUGCGGUAAUACGGAGAGUGCAAACGUUGUUCGGAUUCACUGGGCGUAAAGGGCACGUAGGCGGCUCGGCAAAUCGGUCGUGGAAUCCCGACGCUUAACGUUGGAACGGCGAUCGAAAAUACCGGGCUAGAGGGCGUGAGGGGUCACUGGAACUCCUGGUGAAGCGGUGAAAUGCGUAGAUAUCAGGAGGAACGCCGGAGGCGAAAGCGAGUGACUGGCGCGUUCCUGACGCUGAGGUGCGAAAGCUAGGGGAGCAAACAG
rnacentral:rRNA from 1 species